GACGUACCCCGAGAGGUGAGACCCCCUGGCCCCUCAGCCUGGCCCCUGCUACCUGUCCCCACCCCGAUCCUACAGCCUGACAUAUCCUGAGAGGUGAGGCCCCCGCAGCCUGGCCCCUGCUACCUACCUCCCCAAUCCUACAGCCUGAUGUACCCCGAGAGGUGAGGCCCCCACUACCUGCCCCCCUGAUCCUACAGCCUGCUGUAACCCGCGAGGUGAGACCCCCUGGCCCCGCAGCCUGGCCCCUGCUACCAGUCCCCACGCCGAUCCUACAGCCUGACGUACCCCGAGAGGUGAGAUCCUCUGGCCCCUGCUACCAGUCCCCACGCCGAUCCUACAGCCUGACGUACCCCGAGAGGUGAGGCCCCCGCAGCCUGGCCCCUGCUACCUAUCUCCCUGAUCCUACAGCCUGACGUACCUCGAGAAGCGAGACACUUCCCCCCAGCAGCCCAGCCCCCACUACUGGCCCCCCCAAUCUUACAGCCUGACGUACCCCGAGAGGUGAGGCCCCCACAGCCUGGCCCCCGCUACCUGCCCCCCGAUCCUACAGCCUGACAUACCCCGAGAGGUGAGAUCCCCUGGCCCCUGCUACCUGUCCCCACCCCGAUCCUACAGCCUGACAUACCCCGAGAGGUGAGGCCCCUGCAGCCUAGUCCCCGCUACCUACCCCCCCGAUCCUACAGCCUGAUGUACCCCGAGAGGUGAGGCCCCUGCAGUUUGCCCCCCUGAUCCUACAGCCUGACAUACCCCGAGAGGUGAGGCCCCUGCAGCCCGGCCCCUGCUACCUACCCCCUCGAUCUUACAGCCUGACGUACCCCGAGAGGUGAGGCCCCUGCAGCCCGGCCCCUGCUACCUACCCCCCUCAAUCCUACAGCCUGACGUACCCCGAGAGGCGAGGCUGCUGCAGCCUGCCCCCCAAUACUACUGCCUGAUGUACCCCGAGAGGUGGGGCCCCUCCAGCAGCCUGGCCCCUGCUACCUAACCCCCCAAUCCUACAGCCUAACGUACCCCGAGAGGUGAGGCCCCUGCAGCCCGGCCCCCACUACCUACCUCCCCGAUCCUACUGCCUGACGUACCCCGAGAGGUGAGGCCGCUGCAGCCUGCCCCCUGAUCCUACUGCCUGAUGUACCCUGGGAGGUGAGUCCCCUCCAGCAGCCUGGCCCCUGCUACCUACCCCCCCGAUCCUACUGCCUGACGUACCCCAAGAGGUGAGACCCCCGCCCCGUGCAUGCCCUGCCCUGCUGCUUGCCCCGUCUCUC